AAACAGCGAUGAGACCGUGGUCUCUUCUAUCACGUGACUAAUCAGAACGAGGCUACUUUCAUUUUUGCAUUGCCUACGUGCAGCAUGGGAUUAAGCCCUAUGGUAUCUUCAGAUUACAGCCUAUUAAUUAAGCUGGAAUGCCCCACACAUUAUGGAUGAUAAUUUUGUAAAUUAGAGCAGUACUUUCUCGAGAGGGGCCCUUUGUUUUUCUGGACAUCAGAAUUUUAUAUCAAUGGAUUGUCCUGGAAUUGCCAUACAGCUGCAUCAGGUGUGCUUUUUUCCUAUUCAAAUUUUUGUGUAAGUACAUGUAUUACUUUUUAUUUUCUCUUACAUUAAUUUACUGCAGAGGGUCUAGUUAAUAAAUUUGAUAAAGCUAUAAAGUAGCAUAUAGUCAAUAAUUUCUAUGUGUGAAUCCUAAAGAGUAUAAGGUAACUCUCAUUUUGACUAUAAUUUCUCUGAUUUCAGUAGUAGUCUCCCCUGUUAAAGAUCAGUAAUGGUGGAUAUACAAUGCUGGAUGCAGUCUGGUCAUCAACAGAGAGUUUUGACACCUGUAAUUUGCCUCUGUAACCUUUGCUGUGUUUAUCAGACAGAUGAUGAAUCAGUCUACUUCUUUUUACAAGAGGUGCCCCUCCAGACUCACAAAGAUCCAAAGUUGAGUUUCCAUGACACCUAUUCAGUCUAAUGCAUGUUGGCAACUGAUGCUGGUUCUAUUUUCACCAAGAAGCAUACCAUGCAUACCACCGGUAACCAAGUGAAGGACAUAACCACACUUAGGCAUGCAGCUCUUCGUCCCCUUCCAGAUCUCCUAACCUCUUUGGAAAGCUUUUCUUGGUGACUGGUAAAGUGACAUUUUUACAAUAGAUAGAAAGGAUCCAUGCCUGGCCCUGUUUUCCCUCCCCAUGCUGAUUCCAGUCCAGUGAACCAUCACAAACUUGAAACUUUGCGAUGUACCCUUCCUUAUAAUUUGUCCUUGCCCAAACAGCCAAUGCAAUGAAGAAGAAAAUGCAGGGUUGAAAUGGAUUAAAGAUGAACUAGCUUUUCUAUACAAAUAUUUUCUUGGUGCAUUGUAUAUUUGACUUGUAGAACAAGAAUUUAUCAAAGUUGUCAUUAAUUUAAGAAAAAAGCACAAUUUUCACACUCAUGUAAAAAGAGAAAUAUAACCGAGUAUUGAAUACCAUGUUAGAAUUUUUAGUCAAGCAUGUGUUAAUUACAAAUUGAAAUGCAAAACUUUCAAUAGCAGAUUGAAUAACGUAAAUCUAGAAAUUUUUGCUGUAGAUAAAUUUUUAGCAAAUUUGCGAGUUCAUUGCAUUCACAAAAAUAUAUUUCUUCAAAUUAAUUCAACAAUAAGAAAAUUUAAUCAAAGUAGUAGUCAUUCGCAAAAUUUUGAAACGUAAAAAUUAAUCAACAGCAUUACAACCCAGAUUCACAUAAUAAAAUCGACGUAAACAUUUCCAGAUUUACGGUAGUUACUGUGUAGAUUAUUAUGAAUAUUAGGUCACCCAAGUCAAUCUAACAAUGGUGCACUAUCAUAUGGAAAUUUUCAACUUCUUUGAAACCACUUAAGCAGUCUUAAUUAAUUUUGGCAUACAGUUUGGCUCACCUAUUAAUUUAUUCUUAGAAAAAUUUCUAUGCUCAGGGUUGUAUUCUCCUCUGGUGACUGUUAAGGUCCAUUGGCCCCUUGUUACUCUUUUACUUAAAUAUUUUGUUUUUAAGCUAUUAUUGCUGCAAGCAUUUGCAAGCAUUAUAAGAAUAUUAUUUUCUUUGUUAAGUUUGCUGUCAUUUGUUUAAUUUAUAAGCUUUUCAUGUGUACAUUACUUAUUAUACACAUAUUAUUUUUUGUUGUUAGCAAAUAAUUUGAAUGUAUGCACAUGCCUUUAAUUUGGAUGAGAGCAUAUUUGUAUAUUUUCAAUAUUUUCUUGAGCAAUAAAUAUUUAAUUGAUUUCAGCAUAUUUUAUUAUAUAUUCAAACAUGAAUUGAAUGGCAGCAGGCAUAUUUUGAUAAAUUGAAUACUGCAUUAUAAUGUUAAACAUGACCAGUUAUUGUUACACUACCAUUAAAGAACUCAUAUCUUA